AUUGAACGCUGGCGGCGUGGAUAAGGCAUGCAAGUCGAACGCGAAAGUCCCCUUCGGGGGAUCAGUAGAGUGGCAAACGGGUGAGUAACACGUGAGCAACCAACCCUCUGGUGGGGGACAACUUCGGGAAACCGGAGCUAAUACCGCAUAAGUUGAAGGAGUCGCAUGGCUCUUUCAGGAAAGCGGGGGACCCUUCGGGGCCUCGCGCCGGAGGACGGGCUCGCGGUCGAUUAGCUAGUUGGCGGGGUAACGGCCCACCAAGGCUCUGAUCGAUAGCUGGUCUGAGAGGAUGGUCAGCCACACUGGGAUUGAGAUACGGCCCAGACUCCUACGGGAGGCAGCAGUCUAGAAGCUUCGGCAAUGGGGGAAACCCUGACCGAGCGACGCCGCGUGCAGGAUGAAGGCCUUCGGGUUGUAAACUGCUUUCGACAGGGAAGAAGGGCGUUUGGGAUAAUACCCCGAUCGUUUGACGGUACCUGGAGAAGAAGCCUCGGCUAAUUCCGUG
rnacentral:rRNA from 1 species